UACGUAGGGCGCAAGCGUUGUCCGGAAUUAUUGGGCGUAAAGAGCUCGUAGGCGGCCUGUUGCGUCCGCUGUGAAAUCCCGGGGCUCAACCCCGGGCGUGCAGUGGAUACGGGCUGGCUGGAGGCAGGCAGGGGAGAACGGAAUUCCUGGUGUAGCGGUGAAAUGCGUAGAUAUCGCUUGGAACGCCAAAGGUGAAAACAGGUUGCUGGGAAUGUGCCGACGCUGAGACACGAAAGCCAGGGGAGCAAACGGG
rnacentral:rRNA from 1 species